UCCUAUUUUACAGGUGAGGGAAACGAGGCCCAGAGAGGUCCCGGAACCUGUCCAAAGGUGGCCUUUGAAACCAAGUCCUCCUGGAUCUUCGCACAGAACUCUGCUUGCUUCUGCAAGGCUUUGUGAUGGCCAGCCUUUGUUUCCUCUGUUGGGCCUCUGAAAAACCCCAGACCAUCCGAGUAUCAAGCAAUCACAGAGUGACAGGCUGCCAGAGUGAAUGGGCACCGAGAGAACACGCGGUCAUCCCAUGUGUGUGUUAGACGAGCAGCCUGGGCUGGGCGCUACCUGGCUGAUACUCGCGGGACAGGUAGAGUGAGUCACAGGCAGGCAGCGAAGCCGAUGCUGAAAAUGAGCCUCACAUCUGGACGGGAGAGUUGAUUCCACUCGGUGCCCCCACCCGAGAGUGGAAGCUGCUGACUUUAACAUCUUAUUUGCGUGGUCUCCUGGGGGAAAGACCUUGUAAGUUUGGUUUCACAAGUGACCUGCUAGACCAGUUUCACUAGGGUUCUGCACAAUAUGUGACUCCCCUUCCUCCCGUCUCGACUUACUAAUAGCAAUUGAAAUGAUGGCGAUACUCAGCUAUCAUUUGCGGAGUGCCUAUUAACUGACAUCAGAGAAGGGAAGAGGGACAUGGGGUGAAAUCCAGAGGAAACCAGGCUCGGGUUUUUGGGAAUGUUCUCAGACUCUCUCCCAGUCACGUAUUUAAUUCCUCCAGCAACAAACUUGACGACACAUGAGAAAUGUCAUCUACCAAGGGACCUUACCCAAGCCUAAGGGUCCAAGGUUUUUGUCUGGGGUCAGUCCUGUGGGUUCCCUCUGCCUGGCAGGCACCCAAACUCCAGGCUCCCAGAAGGAAAUCAGAUGUUCAGUAUGAACCACACUGUUUGUACAAACAGCUCAGUACAGUGAGCCAUUCAUCAUCUCAGGACUGGUGAGAAACUACCCCAAACCCAUGUUCCUCAAGGCCAUCAGAGGGCCGGACUUUCUGAAACGGCAGUCUCAGACCUGCUACAUCUAUGCUUUUCUGCGCAAUCCACCUCCUCAGUCUUUGGCCAAAGGCAUCUUUGCAGCAAAAUUAUUACCCCUAGGAGCCCAUGCAGCAGGGUGAGACCACCCUGCAGGGCUGAUCUCAGUCACGCUCUUCUGAGCUUCACCAGUUCAGGCCAAGCCGAGUAACCAUAAAUGUCUGUUUUAGAAAUCCAGGUAGCUGUCUCUUUAAGUUUGAGUGUGAGCCUUUUUUACCUGUCAGAGGCAGCAGCUGAGUUGAGCACAGCUCUGGAUAGUAAGUUGAAGCUGACCCAAAGGCUUCUGAGGGCUGAGGUGGUGACAGGAGGUGCAGCCCCAGAGGGUGCACAUACAAGCCCUGCAAAGAAAGAGCUGACAGUUGUUGAGGUUCCCCAAGCAGGCCAUCCAUUAAGCAGGCAGUACCAUAUGUUUACAGGGCCUCCCAGUGUGGCCUCCCAUCAUGAGGCUUCCUCCUAAGGCCACCAGGUCCUUCCAGUUAAUUCAGUUCAGUCCUCAGAUUCGGAGGGACUGCCCGAGGCUGGCAGUUACAAGCGGUUUGCUCGUCUGUGACACCAGCUCACCCGCCUGGCGAGUGGACAGCACCUGGAGGUGUUCUCCGUGGGCCGUGCAGAGCUGCCCACCCCUGCUGUCCCACAGUCUGUGCUGUCAGGGGUGAUCAAGGCUUCGUGUGAGUUGAAAGCUUCCCAGCUGCUUGGAAAGGCAGCUCAGGGAGUUUUCCCUCAGAAAGAGGGGAAGCUUCCAGGGACAGUCCUGAAAAACGGAGCACUUGUGCUCCCCCGAGUCUCCCAAGUUGCUGAGGGUUUUGUUUUACCUUCUAUUGUUUCAAACUCAGUGUGUCCCAUUUAGUCAUCAUAACUUUACAUAUUAAAGUCAACUCUUACUGCUUCCCAAACCCUUCACCUGGAAGGGUUGUACGGGAGAGGGACAAAAGCAUUCUCACAGAACACUUUUUAAAAAAAUUUUAAUUGAAGUACAGUCAGUUUACAAUGUUGUGUCAAUUUCUGGUAUACAGCAUAAUGUUUCAGUUAUACGUAUACAUGCAAAUACUUGUUUUCAUAUUCUUUUUCACUAUGGGUUACUACAAGGUAUUAAAUAUCCUUCCCUGUGUUAUACAGAAGAAAUUUGUUGUAUAUCUAUUUUAUAUAUAGUAGUUAGUAUCUGCAAAUCUCA